rnacentral:rRNA from 1 species
AAUGAACGUUGGCGGCGUGGAUUAGGCAUGCAAGUCGAGCGAGAAGGUUCCCUUCGGGGAACUGGACAGCGGCAAACGGGGUAGUAAGGCGUCGGUACGCACCCCCAGGACCGGGAUAGCCGCGGGAAACUGCGGGUAAUACCGGAUAAUAUCUCCGGAUCAAAUGGUGAGAUUCCGCCUGGGGACCGGCUGACGUGAUACCAGCUAGUUGGUGAGGUAAUGGCUUACCAAGGCGAAGACGUCUAGGGGGUGUGAGAGCAUGGCCCCCACCACUGGGACUGAGACACUGCCCAGACACCUACGGGUGGCUGCAGUCGAGAAUCUUCGGCAAUGGGCGAAAGCCUGACCGAGCGACGCCGCGUGCGGGAUGACGGCCCUUGGGUUGUAAACCGCUGUCAGAGGGGAUGAAAUUCUAGAAGGCUAUCCUUCUAGUUUUUGACAAAAGCC